ACACGACUACAUUAGAUACCCCCGUAGUCCCAGCCCUAAACGAUGCGCGUUAGGUGUAUCGGUGACCACGAGUCACCGAGGUGCCGAAGGGAAACCGUGAAACGUGCCGCCUGGGAAGUACGGUCGCAAGGCUGAAACUUAAAGGAAUUGGCGGGGGAGCACCACAACGGGUGGAGCUUGCGGUUUAAUUGGACUCAACGCCGGGAAGCUCACCGGAUAAGACAGCGGAAUGAUUGCCGGGCUGAAGACCCUGCAUGACCAGCUG
rnacentral:rRNA from 1 species